rnacentral:rRNA from 1 species
UACGUAGGGGGCAAGCGUUGUCCGGAUUUAUUGGGCGUAAAGAGCGUGUAGGCGGCCAUACAGGUCAGCUGUGAAAACUCGAGGCUCAACCUCGAGACGUCGGUUGAAACCGUAUGGCUAGAGUCCGGAAGAGGAGAGUGGAAUUCCCGGUGUAGCGGUGAAAUGCGCAGAUAUCGGGAAGAACACCUAUGGCGAAGGCAGCUCUCUGGGACGGUACCGACGCUGAGACGCGAAAGCGUGGGGAGCGAACAGG